rnacentral:rRNA from 1 species
UACGUAGGGUGCAAGCGUUGUCCGGAAUUACUGGGCGUAAAGCGUGCGCAGGCGGUUUGCUAAGAGAGAUGUGAAAUCCCCGGGCUUAACCUGGGAACUGCGUUUCUAACUGGCAGGCUUGAGUGUGGCAGAGGGGGGUGGAAUUCCACGUGUAGCAGUGAAAUGCGUAGAUAUGUGGAGGAACACCGAUGGCGAAGGCAGCCCCCUGGGCUAACACUGACGCUCAUGCACGAAAGCGUGGGGAGCAAACAGG